GUGAUGUAAUAGAGGAUUUUUCCUA
rnacentral:piRNA from 1 species